ACCCGCUGAACUUAAGCAUAUCAAUAAGCGGAGGAAAAGAAAAUAACAAUGAUUCCCCCAGUAACGGCGAGUGAACAGGGAAAAGCUCAAAGUUGGAAGCUCCUGGCCCUAGGCUAGGCGCAUUGUAAACUAAAGCUGUAUAGUAGUUCGGUUGGCCUGGUAAAAAAGUUCCCUGGAAUGGGGCGACAUGGAGGGUGAAAUCCCCGUCUUUGGCCAGAGCUCAGCUGUGCGUUUGCUUUGCUGCGAAGAGUCAGGUUGUUUGGGAAUGCAGCCUAAAAUGGGAGGUAGACUUCUCCUAAAGCUAAAUAUUGACGAAAGACCGAUAGCGAACAAGUACCGUGAGGGAAAGAUGAAAAGCACUUUGAAAAGAGGGUCAAAAAGUACGUGAAAUUGCUAAAAGGGAAUCGUAUGAAAUCAGCCUGAUGUAUGGGUAAUCAGCCUGGGCUUUGGCCUGGGUGCACUUGCCCAUGUAUUAGCCUGCGACAGUUUGACCUGGGGGAAAAAAGAUGGGGGAAUGUGGCCUCGGCUUCGGUCGUGGUGCUAUAGCCCCUGUCAAAAUACCUUGGGUUGGACUGAGGACUGCAGCGAGCCGUAAGGCAUGGGUCUCGGGCGCUCUGUCUCGGCGAAAAGUGAAUCUCUGCCUCGGGUGGUGCGCUUUUCGUCAGGGCAGACCCGUCUGUUUCUUCUUUCUCUCGCUUAGGUCGUAGGCAUAAUGAUUUUAUAUGACCCGUCUUGAAACACGGACC
rnacentral:rRNA from 1 species